rnacentral:rRNA from 1 species
UACGUAGGUGGCAAGCGUUGUCCGGAUUUAUUGGGUUUAAAGGGUGCGUAGGCGGUCUUAUAAGUUAGUGCUGAAAUAUCCCGGCUUAACCGGGAGGGUGGCAUUGAUACUGCAGGACUUGAGUAUAGUCGAGGUAGGCGGAAUUGACGGUGUAGCGGUGAAAUGCUUAGAUAUCGUCAAGAACACCGAUAGUGUAGACAGUUUACUAGGCUAUAACUGACGCUGAGGCACGAAAGCGUGGGGGGACAAACAGG